rnacentral:sRNA from 1 species
GGCCAAUGGUGGUAGACAUGUGCAUCAGGGAGAUUGAGUCUAGAGGUCUUAAUUCUGAAGGACUAUACCGAGUAUCAGGAUUUAGUGACCUAAUUGAAGAUGUCAAGAUGGCUUUCGACAGAGGUAUGUUUUUCACAAUGUUCCAUAACUUAGGACAAUAAUACUCUUUUCUAAAAAGGCACAAUUUCUUGUGAGGUAUUUUUUGCAUUAUUUUUCUAAAUCAUUGAUGAUUAUUAUACCAAAUUUAAAAACUUAGCUUAUAAUUUCUUUUUUAUGAGUUGUAAGUAUUAAACAGUCAAAUUUCAGAAUAUGAAGGAAGUAUAAAAUUUAACUAUGUUACCAAUAUUUGAGUAUCCAAGGCUGGUCCAUGUUCACCAAAAUACAUACAGAGCAAUUACAUUCACCAAAAAUGAUAGAGAAAAGAGUAGGAUCUAUACCAUUACAGAUUUCAGGCUUCUCAGGCUUGAGUUAACCCACCUUACCCUGCCUGUCAUCCAUGCCCCCCUGGCAUCCUCAUCACCAUCUUCGAUGAGCUGAGUGAGACCCAAGCCCGGACUCAAGUGUUGGGGCCAGAAAGCUGAAAGAAGCUUUAGGGGCCUUCUGUGGGGGACCCAUCAGCCACUGUAGGAGAAGGGGCCCAGUCAAAGAAAAGCUCAGUGGAGCUUAAUUUUCUUAGCUAACAUUUAAAUUAAGAUUUGCUUCCAUGGUUCUCCAAUUUGUCUUUGCUUCAA